rnacentral:rRNA from 1 species
UAAGGAAUAUUGGUCAAUGGACGCAAGUCUGAACCAGCCGUGCCGCGUGGAGGAUGAAGGUCCUCUGGAUUGUAAACUUCUUUUAUCUGGGACGAAACACUUCUUUUCUAAGAGGCCUGACGGUACCAGAUGAAUAAGCACCGGCUAACUCCGUGCCAGCAGCCGCGGUAAUACGGAGGGUGCAAGCGUUAUCCGGAUUCACUGGGUUUAAAGGGUGCGUAGGUGGGUAUGUAAGUCAGUGGUGAAAUCCCCGAGCUUAACUUGGGAACUGCCAUUGAUACUAUAUGUCUUGAAUAUUGUGGAGGUAAGCGGAAUAUGUCAUGUAGCGGUGAAAUGCUUAGAUAUGACAUAGAACACCAAUUGCGAAGGCAGCUUAGUAUAUAAGUAUUGACCCUGGGGCACGA